rnacentral:rRNA from 1 species
CAGGAAGACAGGUGGUGCAUGGUUGUCGUCAGCUCGUGUCGUGAGAUGUUGGGUUAAGUCCCGCAACGAGCGCAACCCUUAUUGUUAGUUGCUACCAUUUAGUUGAGCACUCUAGCGAGACUGCCCGGGUUAACCGGGAGGAAGGUGGGGAUGACGUCAAAUCAUCAUGCCCCUUAUGUCUAGGGCUACACACGUGCUACAAUGGUCGGUACAAUGAGAUGCAACCUCGCGAGAGUGAGCAAAACUAUAAAACCGAUCUCAGUUCGGAUUGUAGGCUGAAACUCGCCUACAUGAAGCUGGAGUUGCUAGUAAUCGCGAAUCAGAAUGUCGCGGUGAAUACGUUCCCGGGCCUUGUACACACCGCCCGUCACACCAUGAGAGUUGGCAAUACCCAAAGUUCGUGAGCUAACGCGUAAGCGAGGCAGCGACCUAAGGUAGGGACAGCGAUUGGGGUGAAGUCGUAACAAGGUAGCCGUAGGAGAACCUGCGGUUGGAUCACCUC